rnacentral:rRNA from 1 species
GACAGCAGCAGCCGCGGUAAUACAGAGGGUGCAAGCGUUAAUCGGAAUUACUGGGCGUAAAGCGCGCGUAGGUGGUUUGUUAAGUUGGAUGUGAAAUCCCCGGGCUCAACCUGGGAACUGCAUCCAAAACUGGCAAGCUAGAGUAUGGUAGAGGGUGGUGGAAUUUCCUGUGUAGCGGUGAAAUGCGUAGAUAUAGGAAGGAACACCAGUGGCGAAGGCGACCACCUGGACUGAUACUGACACUGAGGUGCGAAAGCGUGGGGAGCAAACAGGAUUAGAUACCCCCGUAGUCCCUGUCUCUUAUAC